CACAAUGAUCAGAUACUGCUUGACAUCGUUGGAUUUGUAAUGUGAUGCUCUAUAGCAAGUGUGUCCAAUUGCCCGAUUGCAACAUGCUUCCUCUCCACCAAUGCCAAUCGCUGCUCUGAUUGAGGAGAACGAAGCUGACCCACGCCCCCUCCGACACCUGGGCAGCAUGCCGCACCAUCAAUCAGCCAGCAGUCGUAAUUGCACCAGUCAUGAGAGAGAGACCCCAUCCGGCUUAGUCCCGCCCAUCUGAACAACAGGCAAAUCGUUGUUCAUGUGGCCACUCAGCCUUGGCCGGCAAUUCGAUACGGUGUAUUCGAGAUCCAGGUCUGGUUCCAGCCCGUGUUUUUACCGAUGUGCCACCUGAGCGGCAUGUGUGCAUUUUUGACAUCAUUGAUGAGUUGUGUUUGGAACAGUGCCCAUAUAGAAUUGCCACUGAAUUCAGAUAAUAAUUUUACAGUGCCAAUGACAACCCUGUAUACAGUUGCACACCUUAAGACAUGUAUGCUAAAAAAGGAGAUUAUAACACCUGGAAAGAACUAUCGCCCAGCAUCCCCAGUGUUAAAAAGUCUUUUAAGUGUUGUAAACCUUAUAAAUAAAUUAUUGAAUGUACAUACCAGGCAGCUGUACCUGUAAGCUGUAAGUUUGCUAUUACAUACUGUUUAAAUUAUCUUGAUAAUAUUCUCAACCAAAUAGUGCCUUGCUAAUGUUUACCUGACUAAAAUGAUUACAUAUUUACAUAAAUAAAUGAUGUAAUGUGCAGGAAAUCAUUUUGUUCAAGUAAACAAUAAAAUUGUUGUAAUCUUGUUCAGCUUUAUUCAAAGAAU